rnacentral:rRNA from 1 species
UAAGGAAUAUUGGACAAUGGAGGCAACUCUGAUCCAGCCAUGCCGCGUGGAGGAAUAAGGCCCUAUGGGUUGUAAACUUCUUUUAGACGGGACAAAACCCCUUUACGUGUAAAGGGUUGAUGGUACUGUCAGAAUAAGCAUCGGCUAACUUCGUGCCAGCAGCCGCGGUAAUACGAAGGAUGCAAGCGUUAUCCGGAAUUAUUGGGUUUAAAGGGUGCGUAGGCGGACUAAUAAGUCAGUGGUGAAAGCCUGCAGCUUAACUGCAGAAUUGCCAUUGAUACUGUUAGCCUUGAGUACAGGUGAGGUAGGCGGAAUGUGUCAUGUAGCGGUGAAAUGCUUAGAUAUGACAAAGAACACCGAUUGCGAAGGCAGCUUGCUAAGCUGUAACUGACGCUGAGGCACGAAAGCGUGGGGAGCAAACA